UUAAGCAUAUCAAUAAGCGGAGGAAAAGAAACUAACAAGGAUUCCCUUAGUAACGGCGAGUGAACCGGGAAGAGCUCAAAUUUGAAAUCUGGCUGUCUUCGAUAGUCCGAGUUGUAAUCUAUAGAAGCGUUUUCCGUGCUGAACUGUGUCUAAGUCCCUUGGAACAGGGUAUCAAAGAGGGUGACAAUCCCGUACUUGACACAAUCAUCAGUGCUCUGUGAUACGCUCUCUACGAGUCGAGUUGUUUGGGAAUGCAGCUCAAAAUGGGUGGUAAAUUCCAUCUAAAGCUAAAUAUUGGCGAGAGACCGAUAGCGAACAAGUACCGUGAGGGAAAGAUGAAAAGCACUUUGGAAAGAGAGUUAAACAGUACGUGAAAUUGUUGAAAGGGAAACGAUUGAAGUCAGUCGUGUUCAUUGGAUUCAGCCGGUCUUCGGUGUACUUCCUUUGAACGGGUCAACAUCAGUUUUGCCCGGUGGAUAAAGGCAGUAGGAAUGUGGCCUCUUCGGAGGUGUUAUAGCCUAUUGUCACAUACACUGGGGGAGACUGAGGACUGCAGCUCGCCUUUUGGCCGGGGUUCGCCCACGUUCGAGCUUAGGAUGUUGACAUAAUGGCUUUAAACGACCCG
rnacentral:rRNA from 1 species